GCACCAGUAGCUUAAUGGUAGAGCGUGCCCCUCAUAAGGGCUUGGUUGUGGGUUCGAGUCCCUCCUAGGUGCA
rnacentral:tRNA from 1 species